GAAAUUAGGGAUGCAUGUAGCAAAGGUACAGCAGUUAUCAUGAGUGACUAUAAUCUACAUACUGUACAGAUUGGGCUAAUCAAAAUGGUAACAACGUUGAGAAGGAGGAUUUCCUGGAGUGUAUACGGGAUGGUUUUCCAAGCCAAUAUGUAGAGGAACUGGCUAGAGGGCAGGCCAUCCUAGACUGGGUAUUGUGUAAUGAGGAAGGAUUAGAUCGUGAUCUUGUUGUGCAACGCCCCUUGGACAACAGUAACCAUAAUAUGGUGGAAUUCUGCAUAAGGAUGAAAAGUGUGGCUCUGAUGA